rnacentral:rRNA from 1 species
GACGUAGGGCGCGAGCGUUGUCCGGAAUUAUUGGGCGUAAAGAGCUCGUAGGCGGUUUGUUGCGUCGGCUGUGAAAUCCCGAGGCUCAACCUCGGGUCUUCAGUCGAUACGAGCAAACUAGAGUGUUGCAGGGGAGACUGGAAUUCCUGGUGUAGCGGUGAAAUGCGCAGAUAUCAGGAGGAACACCGGUGGCGAAGGCGGGUCUCUGGGCAACAACUGACGCUGAGGAGCGAAAGCGUGGGGAGCGAACAGG